CAGGGACGAACGCUGGCGGCGUGCUUAACACAUGCAAGUCGAACGGUGACGAGGAGCUUGCUCCUCUGAUCAGUGGCGAACGGGUGAGUAACACGUGAGCAACCUGCCCCAGACUCUGGGAUAACAGUUGGAAACAGCUGCUAAUACCGGAUACGAGACGGAGAGGCAUCUCUACCGUCUGGAAAGUUUUUCGGUCUGGGAUGGACUCGCGGCCUAUCAGCUAGUUGGUGAGGUAAUGGCUCACCAAGGCGACGACGGGUAGCCGGCCUGAGAGGGCGACCGGCCACACUGGGACUGAGACACGGCCCAGACUCCUACGGGAGGCAGCAGUGGGGAAUAUUGCACAAUGGGUGAAAGCCUGAUGCAGCGACGCCGCGUGAGGGAUGACGGCCUUCGGGUUGUAAACCUCUUUCAGCAGGGAAGAAGCGAAAGUGACGGUACCUGCAGAAGAAGCACCGGCUAACUACGUG
rnacentral:rRNA from 1 species